UUAUGUGCAGAGGGUAAUAGCAGGUUGUGCGUCUCUGUCAGAGACUACUACUAUUAUAUGUUGCAGACACGGCCUGCAAUCUUCAAUCCCAUACUCUGUGGAGCACACCUGCUGCAGCAAUGGGCGGUCGACAUGUACGUUAAGAUUGAGAGUUGUCGGUUGAGGUGGUAUAGGAAGAACCAGACGCAGAUUCGUGCCGACUUGUAUAAAGGAGUUGUUGAUGCCAUCACUUAGGGGGAGACGCGAGCAAGCGCUGUUGGGGUUAGAAUAGUGCUCCCUGGAACAUACCCUGGUGGCAAUCACGACAUGAAGAAGAGGCAUAUGGAUGCCAUGGCAAUUGUCCAUACAUACGGGAAGCCUGACAUCUUCCUCACCAUGACUUGCAAUCCUAAGUGGGAAGAGAUAAGGAAUGAGUUGUUGCCUGGUCAGACGGCGCAAGACCAGCCUGAUAUUGUGGCUCGUGUGUUCUAUGGCAAACUAGAGCACAUGAAAUAUAUGUUGUUCAAGAAGCAGAUCCUGGGUGUUGUAGUCGCUUACAUAUACGUAGUCGAGUUCCAAAAAAGGGGCCUCCCCCACGCACAUUUUUUGUUGAUCAUGGACUCAACAUAUAAGCUUAUCGUCCCGGAGCAGUAUGACCGACUCAGUUCGGCGGAGCUCCCAGACAAACAAAAGUAUCCGGAAUUGUAUGCAAUGGUGGUAAAACAUAUGAUGCACGGACCAUGCGGUGCUCUCAACCCAAAGAAUUUUUGCAUGCAAGAAAACGGUUGCAAGUGCAGAUAUCCAUGGCCGUUCAAUGAGAACACAGCACAGGGGAAGGACUCAUACCUAGUUUAUCGACGGAGAGACGAUGGAAGACAUGCUAAGGUCUGA
rnacentral:rRNA from 1 species